rnacentral:lncRNA from 1 species
AAACAGCAAAGUCAGACUUACAGGCCAAGAAAGUUAAAAAAUCGGCUACUGGUAGUGCAAAGGAAAAAAAUAAACAGCCUAUAAACACUGAAGUCUCUGUUGAUGGCUCUAGCUCCUCUUCUGUCCCUGCUAUGGUCGCUUCACCUGUCCCUCCCCCUUCUCAUCUUGGAAACAAAAUCAUUCCUUCAACCUCUCCUCCCUGUCCACCUGUUCCACCGUCUGUCUCCUCCUCUCCUUUACCCUUAUCCAUUGUCCACCCCCAAAAAGCUCCUUCUCUUUCUUUGGCUCUUAGUUCUCCUUCC